rnacentral:rRNA from 1 species
GAUGAACGCUGGCGGCGUGCUUAACACAUGCAAGUCGAACGGUGAACACGGAGCUUGCUCUGUGGGAUCAGUGGCGAACGGGUGAGUAACACGUGAGCAACCUGCCCCUGACUCUGGGAUAAGCGCUGAAAACGGCGUCUAAUACUGGAUAUGUGACGUGACCGCAUGGUCUGCGUUUGGAAAGAUUUUUCGGUUGGGGAUGGGCUCGCGGCCUAUCAGCUUGUUGGUGAGGUAAUGGCUCACCAAGGCGUCGACGGGUAGCCGGCCUGAGAGGGUGACCGGCCACACUGGGAUUGAGACACGGCCCAGACUCCUACGGGAGGCAGCAGUGGGGAAUAUUGCACAAUGGGCGAAAGCCUGAUGCAGCAACGCCGCGUGAGGGAUGACGGCCUUCGGGUUGUAAACCUUUUUUAGCAGGGAAGAAGCGAAAGUGACGGUACCUGCAGAAAAAGCGCCGGCUAACUACGUG